rfam:Homo sapiens chromosome 2, GRCh38 reference primary assembly.
GCCGGGCGUGGUGGCACAUGCCUGUAAUCCCAGCUACUCAGGAGGCUGAGGCAGGAGAAUUGCUUGAGCCCGGGAGGCAGGGGUUGCAGUGAGCCGAGAUCGUGCCACUGCACUCCAGCCUGGCCGACAGAGCAAGACCCUGUCUCAA